GCAGGGCCCGCCCCUCCCCGGCAGCCCAAGGGGCGGAGACAAAACAACCCCCGGCCCCACCCCCAGCAGCCUCCCCCACCCAAAGCAGAAGCUGGGCCUGAGGUUCAGAGAGGGGAGCAGGACAGGCAGGGCGGAGGGUGGGGGCCGGUCGGAGAGUCGGGGCCGCGCUGCAUCGGGCCAGCGUCCAGAAGGGCAAAGAAGGUGCUCAUAGCAGCUACCCCGUCGGCUGCGGUCUCUGCUCCCAGAAACGGUAUUGAAACAAGGUGGUUUCGAGGCUCACAUUCCUGCCCUCCUGCUUCAUGUGAGGUACGAAGCCCCAACUCGCCCCUGUCUGACGUGGGCAGGCGCGCUCGCAGGCCCGGGCACGAGGCAGGCAGGUGGGCCGCCCGUCUCCGGAGCCCCGCACAGACGCGUUCACAGAAAGGUGUGCAGGGAAGCAGCCAGCCCUGCAGGUGGGCCUCGUGACGCACCCCACCCACCCCUGCGAGCCUGUCUGUCCUCAGGCUGUGUCCCAGGGGCCCUGCCCGUGCUGGGGGCCCCCUGGAGUGGGGGCGGCUCUAGCCGGAGGUGGACGGGGUUGUCCGCUUAAGCACCAACUCCAGCGGGCUCUGUCCGGGCGGAAGACAGGAAGGGGUCACUGGGUCUGGGGAGCUGUUGGACACUGAGGGGCCUGAGAACAGGCUUCAUGCGGAGGGUGUGAAAUUUGAGGACAGACGGCUGGUGGCCCUGGAGCAAACGGAGUCUGGGCACCCCCGGCACCCGCAGGCAGUCCUGUCCGUCUGCCCUUCUGCCUCGCGCUCUUUAUGUAACAACGCAGGCUCCCGGGACCGCCACUGCCCCUACCCUUUCCUCCCGACCUGACCGUAUGGGCUCCUGCCAGGCCCCACGCGAGGCCCCUGGUCUGAGCUCCGGUCAGCCAGACGUGUCCUGCCCAGGCUGAGAUCCAGGAGGAGGUCAGGGGGCUCUGGCCCUGAGGGGCGGUGGUGUCCACGGGGGAGACCCCAUGCCAGGCAUGAAUGUGGAAUCGAUUUCUUCCACCUAGUUUAUCAAGGACCUGUAUUUACUGAGAGAUGAGCAGGAAAAAGUUCUUGUUCUCAAGUGCUUACAGUUUCAUGAGAGACAAUGAAAAAUUAAAUUUCCAUAUGUUUUAUACGAGAUGGGGACACACAGUCCUACAAAGAGUAGACCAGAGUGAGGUAGAUGGGAUGCUGAGGGGGCUCCUUAUGAAGUCCAUUUCAACAAAGCCCCAAAAUGGGUAAGGAAUGAGCAUUCUGGGAGGAGAACAGCAGGUGCAAAGGCCCUGAGGCAGCAGCUCUGGUCAGGGUCCACGUGGAGGGUGGAGGACAGUGAAGUAAGGAGGAGGAAGAGGUGUUCACCCCCAGCAUUGCUCCCCCAGGGACAGGGUCCUAGGGGGUACUGUGUCGAGCCCGAGAGCCCCCCCUCACCUCUGUCACUGACAGGCUGGGCAGCACAGCUUCCGGGUGGGGCGAAGGGAAGUUCAGCAAACAGCACCCCCUGCCUCCACUUUGCUGCUGGAAACACUGAGGACUGGAUACGGACAAUAGAUUCCGAGUGGCCGAGGCUACUUUUCUGAAUGCUGUGUCCCCAGGCUGGAGUAACAGCCAAGAGGAAGUCCCUCGCCUGGCCCCGGCCAGGCCCCUCCGCGGUCCCUGGGCAGCCCCUCCCCACCCUGCCCAGGGACCCCCUGCCGGCUGCCCUGCCCGUGACUUUAGGAGUUGGCCAUGGGGCCGAAGGGCCUGGGUACGGGGCGCAGGCUGCCUGGCCCGCCACCCCCAGAGCCACCUCCCACAGCCCCACGGACACGGCAGGGAAGGUCCCGCGGCCACGGGCCUGGCAUUGGCCUCUGCCCAGCACCUUCCACAGACCGCCCCACCUCCAGGCCGAGCGCUGCCCAGAGGCUCUCAUCUCCGACCCUGCCCGGGCUCGAGCUCCCUCACACCAGGCAGAGCGCCCCCCCACCCCCCCUUCAGCAUCUGUAAGACAACGGAUGCCUUUUCCCGAAGAUGGCUCUUCAGGGAAAAUGCACCCCUCUCCAACUCGGGUAGUUUCUCCUGACCGGCUUUACCCCUGGGGGGCCCAAACACCUGCUCUUGGGGAAGGGCCUACCCUGGCUGGUUGGGCCCCCCGGCACCAGGUGGAGCAGGGGUCUCACCCUCACGGAGUAACAGCAGUUGAUGGAAGAUGCUGGAAGGGAGUCCCUUUCCCGCCUUGGCCAGCCCGCCGGCCAGCCGCUGUUGUUUCUCUAAAGAUAAACUGUUUCACUUUGAACUUC